GUAGGUGGCAAGCGUUGUCCGGAAUUAUUGGGGCGUAAAGCGCGCGCAGGCGGUUCUUUAAGUCUGAUGUGAAAGCCCACGGGCUCAACCGUGGAGGGUCAUUGGAAACUGGAGAACUUGAGUACAGAAGAGGAAAGCGGAAUUCCACGUGUAGCGGUGAAAUGCGUAGAGAUGUGGAGGAACACCAGUGGCGAAGGCGGCUUUCCGGUCUGUAACUGACGCUGAGGCGCGAAAGCGUGGGGAGCAAACAGGAUUAGAUACCCUGGUAGUCCACGCCGUAAACGAUGAGUGCUAAGUGUUAGGGGGUUUCCGCCCCUUAGUGCUGCAGCUAACGCAUUAAGCACUCCGCCUGGGGAGUACGGCCGCAAAGGCUGA
rnacentral:rRNA from 1 species